ACAAGGAAAGCUACAGGAGCCCUCUGUCAUCGAAAGUGUGCAACACCUGUAAGACAGAUGCUGACCAAAGAUAUUAUUUUCUGUUCUGCUAAUGGGAGGCUUUUAGGAUAAUUAAUGGAUGUCUUUAAGACAUAGCCCCAUCCCCUUCUUGCCAGUUUUCUUUCUAUUUCUUAAAACCAGAUUGCUUUAAUCUUUCUCUAAAUUACUCCUUUAUUGCAGCAGCAAGAGUUACACAGUGUUAAACUGAAUGUCUGUGUAAAAGAAAAGGGGGUUGUUGUCACAGCAGUGAAUCGUAAAGAUGCAUAUGGAACUGCCUUUAGCUAAAGUGAGUCACGUAUUCGUUGGAAUUUACUGUGUUUUUUUUUUUUUCUCUGAUACUAUUUAUGACAGUGAUAUAACAAAAGCCAGCAAAAGGUCAUUUUUAGCAAGUAAAUAAAUAUUGGUAGUUAGUUGAUCUCCGUGUGACCCACACCAGACAGGAUUUGGGCAUUGGGCUGUUUAGUGCUGAGCCUGAAGCCAGUGUGAGCAGCAGUUGUGCAGCAUCAGGUAUGGAAUAGCCAUGCUACACGUUGUGCUGCCUCCCGCACGCUACCCUGCAGUAUUUCUCAGGGAACUCCUGAGAAGAUGCCGCCUCAUCCUGUUAGUGUCAGAAGACACCCCUAGCACUGACACAGUUGAUCCUAACACUGCACCUUUGCUUGGAGGUUCUGGGAGAGGCAUGAAUGCUGAAAAAUGGAAAACGGUACCAGAGAGGUAAGGCAGUUCCUUAAAUGACUGAUCAAGUUUGGUUUGUAAGGAGAGCAGGUAAGUGGGUUUCUUCUCCUUUAAAGUGAAUAAUGUGUGUUUUGCUCUGUGUGUAGAUUUAAUGCUGAGAACAGGCCUCUUCCCAAGCACAUUCUGGGAUAGAGAUCUGUGGGUGGUAGGUAUCACAGGAUCACCAAUCAGCUGAAAAAAUAUCAAGUAUAGUAUAGGCGCCUCUGAAUUUGAACCCAUUUUUAGCUAUGACAGUGUUUUACACAUGAUGGACUGAAUUUGCUGCUCUGGUGAGUGGCCUGCUUGCUUGGUGGUCUUCUCUCCACCACUCCUUUGCUUGUUUGGGUAUGUUUUGGGUUUUUUUUGUUUGCGUGUGUGGUGUGUUUUUGGAGGUGUUUUUGUGGUUUUAUUUUUUUAUUUAUAAUUUCCCAAAGAAUACUCCUGCGUACAUAGCAUGCAAAGUGCAAACAAGCUGUAAGCCACAGUUUUAUUACAUAACCUGAAACUCUGUGCCAGCGUCCUCUGGCUUCGGCACAUAUUGUUGCUUACCCCAACACGUUGAACCACUUUAUCACCUGAAAAAACACUGCCAGGGCAGGUGCAGAGGAGCCCUGACUGCCUCAUCCAAACCACUGUCAAGUACCUCUAAUGGCAAACUGACCAGCCACCAUGGUUUAGGCUUUUGUAUUGAAGUGAACCAGUGACAUCAGAAAUGAAUGACCAAGUUAACAGGAUUUCUCCAUAAAGGUAAGGAUCAAAGGACAUAAGGGCAAGUAUCAAAGGACUGUGUGCAAUGAAGUACAGAUAUUUCUGGGUAGACAGCUACCAGGCAGGGAGGUGUUGGCAAGGAUUAGGCUGUCUGCGUGCCAGUAACCUGCCUGACGAAGGGAAAAGAAGACGGAUGAGAAGACAUCUCUUGCUGAGGUGCAGCCUGGGAAGGAGCAAUGGAAGGGCUGGGAGAGGUUGUUCAAGACAUUUAACUUGAAAUCACCAAAUGACAAUCAGAAAGGUCAAGGUUGCACUUCACCCUGACAUCAGCAUUUGAUGUUGAAUCCUCAGUGGCUGCCAUUCUAGAGCAGAUCAGUAUGUCUUAAGCAAUAAUUCUACCUAAUGAGGUGGGUAAUUCAGAUAAGAGGUAAGUGGUCAACUAGUAAAGCAGCACACUAUUUUCGAUUGCCAUGAGAAGUGUUUGCAAGAUUGCAUGCAACAGGGCUAUGACAUGCUGAGAAACUUUGAAGAAGUGUGCUAAAUAAAACAAACACAUGGUCUUCUCACACAUCUGGUUUGGGUUGGUUUGUUUUUUUUAAUAGUAAUAUAAACUGUCUUUCAAACAGGUGUUAAACAACAUACAGCUGCUGGUCUUUUCUGUUAGGCUUCUUGUAAAAUGCAUGAGAUUUCUCACACUGCAGGCAAAUGGCUGUGAAGAGCUUCGUGGAGAUGAUGCAGCUUGUAUAUUGAAGUGCUAUUACAUAUUAAUGGCAUCAUUUGUCAUUACAUGAUUAGUAUAAGACACCUGUGUAGUGCCAGCCAGAUGUGUGUCACAUCCUGACUGCCAGACUUUUUCUAUAAGGUGGCAGGUAGGAGGGCAGAGCAGUGAAACAUUGCUGUGGAGGAAAACAGUUACUUGGUUUUAAAUAACUAUAAACAAACUGCUAGAAGAGCGUGUGCCUGUCUUCUGAUUCAGACUGAGCAUGAUUUCAAACUGAUGGUACAACAGACUCCCUUCAUGUGCCAGGUUCUGCAUGUAAAUUAAGAACAGAAGUAGCAUCAAUAAUAGGGAAAAUGAUAAAGCCUGAAAUUAAACUGUGUGGAUCUGAACACUGCUUGCCAGCAGCAAAAAUACUUGUUUCACAUUGAAUUGGGCCCUUCAGGUUCUGCUUUGACAAUGAAGGACAAUGAACAGCUCUCCUGUAGGUGACUGUAAUCAUUAGGGGUAACCUUGAUAUCCUACUAAAAAAUUAGUAUGCUCAAGGCAGGAGGAGUGCAUUAGGUGACCCCCUUAAUAUCCCUUCCUGCCCACCAAGGUGAUGGCCGUGUCCUUUAACUCCCUUUCCAUCUCCAGCAAUUUUAAGUUGUCUCUGCAAGGCUGGGAGUUCAGGCUUUGGAGGACUGCCAGAGCUCUUGCUGCUGUGACACUAUCGUUGGUGUAAAUGAUGGGUGUAGGAAUGGUGGUUUCUGCAAUCAGUAUUCAAAAUGUUUGUCUACAAGCUGAGUGACUCAUUAAUUACAGGCUAUAAAAUGCUACUUUGCUUCUUCUGGCCUCUUCAAUCUAAUUUGCAGGCAUUUAACUCAGCCUUUUUCAGAUAAUGCAUGGAUGCAGACAAUGAAACAAUACUCAGUAAAAUCAGUGUUCUAGUUGCCUCAUCCCUGAUUGAUGCCUCAUGAGCACAGGUGAAUUAUAAUUCUAAGCUAGGGGGAUAAAUUUUCACAGACAGUUUCUGAUACAUGAGGAUUGUUUGUGCUACUUCUCUUCUUGCUUCCUUACAAGUGGGAUUGCUCUUUCAUUUACAUGCAACUAAAACUGGGUUUGAUCUUGUUGAUAAUUAUCUAUAUUGCAAAUUGCCAUACAGUUUUUUAUUUCUUUUUUGCCUUGAAUAUCUCUGAGGAUGGGGACACACAGCAUCUCUAGGCAACCUGCUUCACUGUUCAGAAAAGGUGACUUGUGUGUUUAGAUGGAAUUUUAUGGUUUUUAAUUUAUGCACAUUUUGUCUUGUCCUGUUGGUGUAUACAACUGAGAAGAACCUGGCUCCCUCUUCUUUGCUUUCACCUAUCAGGUAUUUAUAAAUAUUACUAAGAUACCCCCUGAGCCUUCUCUUCUCCAAGCUGAAAAGUCCCACACCUCUCAGUAUCUCCUUGUAUGGGACAUACUCCAGUCCUCUCCUCAUCUUUGUGGCCCUUUGGUGGACUUAUUACAAUAAGUGCAUGGCUUGUACUGGGGAGCACAGAACUGGUGCCACCAUUCCAGGUGUGGCCCCACCAGCCCCUGGAUGGAGAGAAAGGAUCAACUACCUUGAUCUGCUGGGAACAGUCCUAGUACAGCUCAGGAUGCUCUUGGCUGCAUUUGCCAUGAGGAUGCAUUGCUGGCUCAUGGGCAGCAUUACCUUUUGGACAAACUGCUUUUGCUGCUGCUGCUUCUUUCCACUUCUGCAUCUCUUUCUGCUCUGGAUGGAAAAUGGGUUUUGUUUGUUUGUAACUUCCCCAUCUCUCACCCCAUCAUCCUUAUUUUUUUUUUUUUUUUUUCUGUACACUUUCUGCAGCCGUUGGGCUCAGUUAGCAAAGCUUGAGACCUGACAGAACUCAAGUCUAUUCUACCAAGCUCAAAUCUAGAUGGAGGAAGUGACUAAAUGUCGCAGGACACACAGCCAAAUAACUCAUGUUGGGAGAAUGGAAAAGGGCAAUUUCCAAGCGAUUGUAUAUUGUGCUCUUUUUCUUUCCUGUUAAAUUAAUGGAAGUCUACAUGAUAUGGUUAAUUAACAACUAUCAAAGUAGCUUAAAAAAACAGGGAGGGGGUGAUAAUUCUUGUCUUUGAAUAGUAUCAUUACUCAGAAACUUCGAACACCAAGGUUUGUCCUCACAAAAACCUCACAUUACAAUAUGUGUAUGCUUUCUGACGUGAAAAAGUGCAGAGGUGAACACUGAGGUAAAGUAUUGCCUUCAAAUAUUCUCGAUGGAUUCUUAGAUGAACAAAACGUACUAAAGUCAGUAAGCCUUUCUUUAUUUCCUCUGAUGUGCAAUUUUGUUAGCUGUGCACAGGAAGAGCUUGUGCUGUUAAGUCUACAGGUACAGAGCCUACAGCCCCACAGGGCUGUACUCUGAUGCAUUUGAUAGAUGUAACCCCUUAAGGUGAAUACAUUUUUUUUUUAACUUCCAUCUUAUCAAACAGAUCAAAGGAAAACCAACUUUGCUUAGUUUUUCUUUACUAAAAAAACGAACUUUAGCUUCAUUUACAGUACCUGCUAUGAUUUGUACUUUGUUGCCAGAUGUAUAUAUUAAAACAGUUUGUCAUAAAGAUAUAGUAGUGCAUUUAGGAUAAAAAUGGGAUGCAGAAUCUUAAAUGUACCUGGCAAACAUCUGCACUGGUUCACUGCUUAUCCACAAAAGAAAAAUAAAGGUGAGCUUAAGACUCUGCUUGUUUAUCUCAGAAUCACAGAAUUGUUCAGGUUGGAAAGGUCAGCUAGAGCAGGUUGACCAGGACUGUAUUUAAUUUAGUUUAGAGCAGCUCCACAUAUAGAUAAUCAAUAAGCUCUCUUGGAAACCUGUUCCUAUGUUUGACCACCCUCAUAGUAAAACAUAAAUAAGUAAUUCUUAUGGUUUCUAAAAGGAGGUGAGGGAAUCAAGAGACCUUUUUCUUCCUAGAAAAGAGGUUUCUUGUGUUAACGUAGUAAGCAAUUUGAUGUCGUGUUUGUUUCUUCAAGUGUGAAAUACUAAAGUAGUUAUUGAAGAAUAGUUAAAAGGUAGUGCAACAUUUUCAAGGCUAAGGAAAGUAUGUG